UCAGCACGUAAACCCAAGGGCCACUCUACAUUGUAACAGGGAUUCAAACACAGGUGCUAACAGCAAAGGGGACCUUGUCAUGGGGGAAAAUAUACCCACACAG
rnacentral:snoRNA from 1 species